rnacentral:lncRNA from 1 species
ACUUAAGUUGUGGGUAGAGACCUGUGUAAAGGAUUUUUGGCAAUUUCGGUUUCAUCACAUUGCGUCUCAGGCACAAUUAUAUAUAUCUAUUUUUUGGUUUGGGUUAAGUUACAUUCCAAGAGGUGUACAUGUGUGUAAGAGUCAUUUCUAGAAUCACAGUUUAAUUGUGUCUGUUUAUUUCCAGUGCUGAUGGUUUUAAGGUUGCAAUGGAUUACACAAGAGCAUCCUUCAGUCCUGAUGGCCAGUAUGUGAUAUGUGGGUCUCAUGAUGGUAGUAUUUUUGUUUGGAAUGCAGCAACAGCAAAGCUAGACAAGAUUCUUAAAGAACACAGUUCUUCAGUAGUCGUGUGUGCGUGGCACCCUGACGGCUCAAGCAUCAUCAGCUGUGAUCGUAACAAGCAUGCAAUUAUCUGGACAAACAGAUACUAAUUAAGCAUUGGAUGAUGUGCUCUUCAAUCAAAGAAGCAAUUGCAAGCAAACACCACUUGUAUGCAUGGUUACAACAAGAAUUAUUAGUCAUAAAUAACAGUCUUAUGUAAGUUAAGAUGUCUAGUUUAAGAUUGCAAUCUUUUGGCAAUGUAAUGUUGUUUUAGAUCUAACAGAAAAUUAAAAUAAUUUAAGACAGUUUUUAGAAAAGAAGGGUUUGCAUUAGGUAUUUUGUUGUAAGAAAUUAUUUUUUGUGCAUAUUAGAGAAAAUGUCUCUUAAAGUGCAGCCAAAAAAUCAAUAAAUAAAUGACACAAGUCUUGAUAUUUUCUUGAAUAAACAACCCCCAGCCAGGUCAAUAAUAAUUUUUGCUCUGUUAAUAUAAUAAUAUUGAGAUGAUGUAAUUUAAAAUGAAAACUUACCCCUUUCUCUAAAAGCAGGCUGAAGAAAUUAUUUUAGGUUUACUCCAAGUAUAAUAUUAUCUCAGAAUUGAAAUAAGUGCCUGGUUGUUUAAUCAAGGAAAUAUUUUCAGCAUUAUUCCUGAUAUAUACAGUAUUAUUAUAUAUGGCAAGGUAGUCUUGAUUGGUUCUUUCUUGGUCGGGAUUUUGCCAUAUGGACCGUUCCAUUGAAACAGUCGUAAGCUGUGUAUUUGUUGUUUUCGAAAGCCAGCAAAUUCAAAACAAGCAUGGCCCUAGUGCCAUAUAAUAAACUACUUACUAGCCUAGCUUGUUCAAAAGGCAAUUGACAUUAUUCCAGGGUUAAAACUUGAUAAUUUGAGCUCUAAGUUUCUUAUGCAUAAGCAUGGCCAAUGUUGUAUGGAACUUGAGAUUGGUUGAUGUCAAAACUGGAGAACAGAAAAUAUAAACAGGAAACCUCACUGAACUGUUAGAAAACUGUAAUCGAAAUUCGCACUUCUGGAUUGGCAUAAUCAUCAUUGAACAACCAAGCCCAGACCUGAAACAUUCAGGAUACUCGCAAAAAUUUUUACAAGUACAGUGGAACCCUGUUAAUCUGGUCACCAACAGGCCGUAUUAAUGGCCAUAUUAAUUAAAAAGGUUCUUUAGCUAAGAAAAUGACUAACUGAGCUUUUGUUCAGGCUGGAAGAAAGUGGCCAUAAUAACGAGGUGGCCAUUUUAAUGGGGUGGCCAUAAGACAGUGUUUCACUGUAUCAGUUAUUCAGAAUCCUCCAGAACCCAAGGAUUGGGUGGGGAUGGUAGAGGGGGUACUUCAGGAAAAAACUGACUGGGAGGUGAGGGGGACUUUUUUAACAUUGACAUAUUUUGCAACUAUUUUGGAGAUUGUUGUAGUACAUCCCUAAAUUUUCUUUGAUAAUUUUUGAGAAGUCAAGUUCUUGUGGAUUCUAUGUAAUCAUACUUAUCAUAGAGCCUUAAUUGGCAUAAUUAUAAUACAUAAUAUUGCAAAAGAACCUUUUUCAUUUUGAUAGCUUUUAAACAUCGGGAACUGUACAAUUUACAGUCAUUUGAGGGGUGUCCAUUUUUGUCUAAUAAGCUCCUUUUGGGGUUUUAUUCGUUACCUUCCUAUCACCUUCUUCUAACAAUACCCCCGGAAGCGCAAAAUUGUUAAUGUAAAGACAAAGGUUAAGAGUGAACGAAAAUAGUUUGUUUCUUUUCAAACUUUCAGGAAUCAAAGUUUGCCUAGUGAAUCUUUAAAUCCCAAUAUCUCCUCACUGGUGUCAUGUUUUUGUCACAGUAGUCAAGCUUAGGAGAGUUUUGAUUUGCUGCUGUUGCUAUUAACAAAGUACUUUCCAGCAUAUCCUGGUCAAACAGACAGCCUGUUGCCACAAGACAGGGAAAAUGUUAUGAAGUGCAGUAUCUAUUUUAGCAGAAGUCUACUUUUCUUGUCAAAGUCAGGGAAAUUUAGGACACUGUAGAUUUUGAUAACUAAGUGCUGUUGAUAGAAAAUUGUUGUGCAAAAAAAAAAAUUCUGCAGAAUAAGUUGAUAAAAGCAUAUUUGAAGUAUUAGUUGGCCAUUUUUUAUUUGAUCAGUUUUAUGGUCAGAGAAAAGUCAGCCAAGGAAUUUUGGUUUUUCUCGUGGGUGGCCAAGCUGUUUAGUUAAAAUGAAGUAAUUUAAUCAUUAUCAAAAUCACACUUGUCUAAUAGUUUCCAUUGUGGGAGCAUUUUGAGUAAAAUAAUAAACCUGGUCAUUAGAACACAACGUUUAGGUUAAAAAAACACAAAGCAAUUUUUCAAACCAUGUUUUUACCAAGCCCUGUGUGUAAAGUUAAUGAAAUGUUCGUAUGGAGAAGCAGUGGAAUGAAAAUUGAAUUGAAAUCAGUCAACAAGUCCAAAAAUUAUUUUAUUACCUGGGGUUUUGUGGUGUUGCUAUGGUGUUUCAUCAUGAUUUUAAUGAGUGGUUUUAGGAGAUUUACCCAGUAGAGAGGCUUUUUAAAAUAGUUAAUUUGGAUUUCAAUAACUUUUGCAGUUCCAGUUCUCCAUGCAAACAUGACACUUUGGUCUCUUAUGAAUGUAGUGUGCUUCAAAAAAGGGAAGUGACUUAUGCUUUCUGUUGUUAUUAAUUUUGCUGCAGUGAGCUGUGCUUGCUAUAGAUUGCUGCUGUUUAUUCUUGUAAGACUCAACCAGCUUGUAACACUUGUAAAUACAACUCAAACUUACUUUAUACAAGAAACAACAUAGCACAGCCUGAGGUAAAUAAACUUGUGUUCUUCACAAAA